rnacentral:rRNA from 1 species
GAACGCUCGUAGCAAUACGGGAGUGGCGGACGGGCGAGUAACGCGUGGGAACCUGCCCUGGAGUGUGGGAUAACCGAGGGAAACUUCGGCUAAUACCGCAUACGACCUGAGGGUGAAAGAUUUAUCGCUCUAGGAGGGGCCCGCGUCGGAUUAGCUAGUUGGUGGGGUAACGGCCUACCAAGGCGAUGAUCCGUAGCUGGUCUGAGAGGAUGAUCAGCCACACUGGGACUGAGACACGGCCCAGACUCCUACGGGAGGCAGCAGUGGGGAAUAUUGGACAAUGGGGGCAACCCUGAUCCAGCGAUGCCGCGUGUGUGAAGAAGGCCUGCGGGUUGUAAAGCACUUU